rnacentral:piRNA from 1 species
UACUACUAGUAGACGCAGUGACGACGUU